GGUUUUGCCCCCAUUUCCCAUUUUGAUCUAUUUUCCCUAUUUUAUUUCAUCCAUUUUUAGGCAUUUUUGCACGCGUAAUUUUUCAUUUAUUUCCAUUUUUUCCUUUUUUUUCUCCCUUAUUUCCUUUUUUUCCUCCCUUAUUUCCUUUUUUCCUCCCUUAUUUCCCUUUUUCCUCCCUUAUUUCCCUUUUUCCUCCCUUAUUUCCUUUUUCUCCCUUAUUUCCUUUUUUUCUCCCUUAUUUCCUUUUUUCCUCCCUUUAUUUCCUUUUUUUUCUCCCUUAUUUCCUUUUUUCUCCCUUAUUUCCUUUUUUCCUCCCUUAUUUCCUUUUUCCUCCCUUAUUUCCUUUUUUUCUCCCUUAUUUCCUUUUUUCUCCCUUAUUUCCUUUUUUCCUCCCUUAUUUCCUUUUUUCUCCCUUAUUUCCUUUUUCCUCCCUUAUUUCUUUUUCCUCCCUUAUUUCCUUUUUUCCUCCCUUAUUUCCUUUUUUCCUCCCUUAUUUCCUUUUUUUCUCCCUUAUUUCCUUUUUUCUCCGUUUCCCAUUUUCCGUAUUUUUUCCCUUUUUUUCCCGCCCCGUUUUGUGUUAUUAAUCGAUUAUUUGAUGAUUUGAUCCUUUAUUUUAUUCCCUCCUCCCUGGUUUCCGUGGUUUUGGGCAUUUCCGCUGCGUCAUCCAUUUCCCCUUUUACUUCCGGUGGGGGGGGGGGACACGCAUUUUUGGGCCGAAAAUCCCCGGAUUUGGGAUCGACUUCUUCAUGGAGUGCCUUUAUUUCGUUACUUUCGGGUGGGGGAGGGGCUCCCUCGUUGCCAUAGCGACCGCCCCCCCCCCCCCCCAUCAGUUGCCAUAGCGACCGUUGCCACGUGAUGGAGCACGUGGGGCCCUACGGACCCCCCCGGGACCCCCACCCACAUGGGUCUCUAUGGGUCUCUAUGGGGUCUCUCUAUGGGUCUCUAUGGGGUCUGUCUAUGGGUCUGUCUAUGGGUCUCUCUAUGGGUCUCUCUGUGGGUUCUCUCUGUGGGUUUCUCUGUGGGGUCUCUCUCGGGGGUCUCUCUAUGGGUCACUCUGUGGGUCUGUCUAUGGGUCUCUGUGGGGUCUCUCUAUGGGAUCUCUCUGUGGGUUUCUCUGUGGGUCUCUAUGGGGUCUCAGUGGGUCUCUCUAUCGGUCUCUCUAUGGGGUCUCUAUGGGUCUCUAUGGGGUCUCUCUAUGGGGUCUCUCUAUGGAGUCUCUGGGUCUCUCUAUGGGGUCUCUCUAUGGUCUCUCUAUAUGGGGGGUCUCUCUAUGGGG
rnacentral:lncRNA from 1 species